GAGUUUGAUCCUGGCUCAGGACGAACGCUGGCGGCGUGCCUAAUACAUGCAAGUCGAACGAACUCUGGUAUUGAUUGGUGCUUGCAUCAUGAUUUACAUUUGAGUGAGUGGCGAACUGGUGAGUAACACGUGGGAAACCUGCCCAGAAGCGGGGGAUAACACCUGGAAACAGAUGCUAAUACCGCAUAACAACUUGGACCGCAUGGUCCGAGCUUGAAAGAUGGCUUCGGCUAUCACUUUUGGAUGGUCCCGCGGCGUAUUAGCUAGAUGGUGGGGUAACGGCUCACCAUGGCAAUGAUACGUAGCCGACCUGAGAGGG
rnacentral:rRNA from 2 species